rnacentral:lncRNA from 1 species
GGGGAGGUGUGGUCUUUAAAGAUUCCAGAUUCCUUAUCUUUUGUUGGCGAAGCUCUUGAAGCUAAAGUAAACCUUGUUGUUCUGUGUUGUUUGAAGUGUGGGAAAGAAUUUGAGAUUGGUUUAUGUGAGAAAAGGAGAAAGGAACAUGCAUCGAUAGUCCUCUGGUUAAUAAAAGCUCCCAAGACCCUCCUAAUAUACGAAGCAAAAGGUCCAGAAGCAGCUUGUAUGGUAGCAUCAAUCAAAUCCUGCA